AUUGAACGCUGGCGGCAUGCUUUACACAUGCAAGUCGAACGGUAACAGGUUAAGCUGACGAGUGGCGAACGGGUGAGUAAUGCAUCGGAACGUGCCCGAUCGUGGGGGAUAACGCAGCGAAAGCUGCGCUAAUACCGCAUACGAUCUGAGGAUGAAAGCGGGGGACCGUAAGGCCUCGCGCGAUCGGAGCGGCCGAUGUCAGAUUAGGUAAUUGGUGGGGUAAAGGCUCACCAAGCCAACGAUCUGUAGCUGGUCUGAGAGGACGACCAGCCACACUGGGACUGAGACACGGCCCAGACUCCUACGGGAGGCAGCAGUGGGGAAUUUUGGACAAUGGGCGAAAGCCUGAUCCAGCAAUGCCGCGUGCAGGAAGAAGGCCUUCGGGUUGUAAACUGCUUUUGUACGGAGCGAAAAGGUUCUCUCUAAUACAGAGGGCUCAUGACGGUACCGUAAGAAUAAGCACCGGCUAACUACGUGCCAGCCGCCGCGGUAAGAC
rnacentral:rRNA from 1 species